rnacentral:lncRNA from 1 species
GCGCUGGAGCUUUCUCUUUUUUUCUUUUUUAACUUUCACUGUGCAUUACUUGAUGUCAUAUCACUAAGGAAGAGAGAGGAGGUGUACGCACGGGCCCUAUAUUCAAAGUCACUGGAGCAUUCCAUGUGUAGUGCUCUGAAAUAUUGAUGUGUAAGCAAAAACACACUGCGUCCUGUCACUUUCAGGAACGCUGAGGCGAAUGGAAGUCACAAGGAAGAAGGAUGAUGCCUCGUUUUUUCUCCCCCUUUCCGGCUCUAGCCGACUGUCAAAGGGGGUUAUUCACUUUGGAAUAGAUGCGUACAGUCGACUCACUCAGCCUGGUCGUCAUCUGAAACGUGAGGCCUCCAAUCACUGCAACAAGGCAGCGUGACGGCAGUCGGGUCAGAGUGUUCAAAGGCAGCGGGAGGACGUGGCGGGCUCCUCACCACCAAGCACAGAGGUGGAUAUUGUGGUGGAUGUUUAUAAACUACUUGUGCUUGCAGGCCGAAUGCACAAUUGUCUUGUCUGA